GAUGAACGCUGGCGGCGUGCCUAAUACAUGCAAGUCGAGCGAACGGACGAGAAGCUUGCUCCUCUGAUGUUAGCGGCGGACGGGUGAGUAACACGUGGAUAACCUACCUAUAAGACUGGGAUAACUUCGGGAAACCGGAGCUAAUACCGGAUGAUAUUUUGAACCGCAUGGUUCAAAAGUGAAAGACGGUCUUGCUGUCACUUAUAGAUGGAUCCGCGCUGCAUUAGCUAGUUGGUAAGGUAACGGCUUACCAAGGCAACGAUGCAUAGCCGACCUGAGAGGGUGAUCAGCCACACUGGAACUGAGACACGGUCCAGACUCCUACGGGAGGCAGCAGUAGGGAAUCUUCCGCAAUGGGCGAAAGCCUGACGGAGCAACGCCGCGUGAGUGAUGAAGGUCUUCGGAUCGUAAAACUCUGUUAUUAGGGAAGAACAUAUGUGUAAGUAACUGUGCACAUCUUGACGGUACCUAAUCAGAAAGCCCCGGCUAACUACGUG
rnacentral:rRNA from 1 species